CCUACGGGUGACAGCAGUGAGGAAUAUUGGUCAAUGGGCGGAAGCCUGAACCAGCCAAGUAGCGUGCGGGAUGAAGGCCCUACGGGUCGUAAACCGCUUUUGCACGGGGAUAACACCCUCCACUUGUUGAGGUCUGCAGGUACCGUGCGAAUAAGGGCCGGCUAAUUCCGUGCCAGCAGCCGCGGUAAUACGGAAGGCCCGAGCGUUAUCCGGAUUCCUUGGGCUAAAAGGGAGCGUAGGCGGGCGUUAAAGUCAGCUGUAAAAUCGCGCGGCUCAACCGCGCCCCGCAGUUGAAACUGGACGCCUUGAGUUCACAACAGGCAGGCGGAAUUCGUGGUGUAGCGGUGAAAUGCAUAGAUAUCACGAGGAACCCCGGUUGCGAAGGCAGCCUGCCGGGGUGCGACUGACGCUGAGGCUCGAAGGUGCGGGUAGCAAACAGGAUUAGAUACCCUAGUAGUC
rnacentral:rRNA from 1 species